CUAUCUUAAAGUCAAUAUUAUCUAUAACUCUAUUUUAUUAAUUGUUUCUUGCAAAUCCUCCUAAGUGCUAAAAGCUAUUUACUUGAAGUUAACCAACCAAAAAAUUUGUAUUUAUAAAGUGUUGAUCAAGCAAGUUUUUAUUUACUAAAUGCAAAGUAGAAAAAAUAUGACUCGAAUUUUUACUUUAUUAGUCAUUUUUUCUCUACUUCUUGUGGUAACCAAAGGCCGUUGGAAGUGCCAAGGUGACGGUGAUUGUCCAAUAAAUAUAUGUGACCCUCCUAUGGUUGCGAAGUGCAUUGGAAAUAUAUGUGAUUGCGACUAUGCGAAAAAGUACAGAUUGAUAUAAAAGAAAAAAGAACACGUACUUUUAUAUGAAAACAAUUACUAUAUGUUAAUAAUAAGUGUGUAAAAAAAAAAGGCGUGUAAUUUAUUUGUACGUCAUAAUUGGAGCACACUUUGAUUUAAGUUUCUCUUGCAUUUUUAUUUCUUUGACAAGUUCAAAAAUGUAUUAUUGUAUUACAUAAGUAUUUUCGUAAGUAUAUAAUUACCUUUAUUCGAUAA